GAUUAUGGCUCAGGAUGAACGCUAGCUACAGGCUUAACACAUGCAAGUCGAGGGGCAGCAUGAAUCAAGCUUGCUUGAUUGAUGGCGACCGGCGCACGGGUGCGUAACACGUAUCCAAUCUACCCAUGGCUCGGGAAUAGCCUUUCGAAAGAAAGAUUAAUGCCCGAUGGCCUCAGGUUAAGACAUCUUUUCCUGAGUAAAGAUUCAUCGGCGAUGGAUGAGGAUGCGUCCGAUUAGGUAGUAGGCGGGGCAACGGCCCACCUAGCCGACGAUCGGUAGGGGUUCUGAGAGGAAGGUCCCCCCACACUGGAACUGAGACACGGUCCAGACUCCUACGGGAGGCAGCAGUGAGGAAUAUUGGUCAAUGGUCGAGAGACUGAACCAGCCAAGUAGCCGUGAAGGAUGACUGCCCUAUGGGUUGUAAACUUCUUUUGUUCGGGAAUAAAGUGCGGGACGCGUCCCGCUUUGUAUGUACCGUACGAAUAAGCAUCGGCUAAUUCCGUGCCAGCCGCCGC
rnacentral:rRNA from 1 species